AGUGAACGCUGGCGGUAGGCCUAACACAUGCAAGUCGAACGGCAGCACAGUAAGAGCUUGCUCUUACGGGUGGCGAGUGGCGGACGGGUGAGGAAUACAUCGGAAUCUACUUUUUCGUGGGGGAUAACGUAGGGAAACUUACGCUAAUACCGCAUACGACCUACGGGUGAAAGCAGGGGAUCUUCGGACCUUGCGCGAUUGAAUGAGCCGAUGUCGGAUUAGCUAGUUGGCGGGGUAAAGGCCCACCAAGGCGACGAUCCGUAGCUGGUCUGAGAGGAUGAUCAGCCACACUGGAACUGAGACGCGGUCCAGACUCCUACGGGAGGCAGCAGUGGGGAAUAUUGGACAAUGGGCGCAAGCCUGAUCCAGCCAUACCGCGUGGGUGAAGAAGGCCUUCGGGUUGUAAAGCCCUUUUGUUGGGAAAGAAAAGCAGCAGGUUAAUACCCCGCUGCUCUGACGGUACCCAAAGAAUAAGCACCGGCUAACUUCGUG
rnacentral:rRNA from 1 species